CAGACGCGCAAAGAAAGGAGGGGAAGCAGAAGGGGCGGAGCGCCGCCGGCCAUAUCAACAUUUCGGCGAGCACGGGCACGGGAGGGGCGGCCAAACCAAGAUUUUGGCGACCACGGGAGGGGCGGCGUGUCUCCACUGCCUUCUUUCUAGCCAUACGGGCGGCCCGGCAACUCAAGCAGUCCACGGGCGCCUGGAGCACGAGAGCGGCGGCGACGAGUCCGGCGACAACGGCGCGGCAACUCCGGAAAGAAACCUGAGAGUGGCUUGUGCUGCUUGCUCAACUGACACCAAAGUGGUAAAUUACCUGAAUGGAAGAAGGUGUGGAAGUUAAAAAGUGCACAGAAAGUUUGCAAUUUCUGGUGGAGAGCUCUGCAUAAUUUCAAGGAGGGGAUGGAAGGCUGCUGACGAGCAGGAGAUGGAGCAGAGAAGUUCUUCUAGGCAGACUGGCACGCCUUUGGCUCACAUUUGAAAAGGGCAUGGCAACUCUUUCUCAUUUCUACAUUGGACUACAGUGCCCAAUUCUCUUCACUUACCACGGCUCAGUUUCUCGUGUAGGUUUGGCUCGUGCUCAACUCAACCAGCUGAUGGUGCCAUUGGAUCUGGUAAGGGUAGCACGCAGAGAUCAGGCAGCAAUUUGAGAUGGUUGUUCCAUGGCUGGUUUGGGCUCAAUCAUGAAGAGUUGAAUACCAAUCCUUCCAGUGCGGAUUUAUUUUUCUGCUGAAGAUUACGGCCAUGUUGAUGGAUCAUAUAGAAGGUUCAGUGUGCAGUUUUUAAAUUUGUUCAGCACAAGGGUGCAUCCAUGCACACACAUACAUACUCCCUCUGUACCAAGCUUAAUGCUCACGGAUCUUACAUUUUGGUACAGAGGUACCGUUGCUCAUAUGAAUUACAUUUCUAGUUUUUAUGGUUGCUCCGUCAGAAUACUAAUUCCCGUUUUUCAUCUAAAAUCAGGUGACUGAAGGUCAGAGGUCAGUAAGCGAAGCUCUGGGCUCUGGCUCAAUGAAGAUGGAACAUCGAUAUCUCUCGCUCGCUCAAUGUUGAGGGUGCGUAUAUUGUUGAGAGUACCUUCAUCACUGGGAGAUCCUCAACAUUGCAGGUGCAGAUCAUGCCCAAGGCUGACGAUCCCUUCUCCUGGAGGUGGACUGAGUCCGGGAGUGUUACACGACCAGAACGCUGUACAACGCCCUCUUCUCCAGUAUGGUUCAGGCACCCCCACCCCACCCCUCUGGCAGCAAAAGCUACACUGCUAUCUGCGGCCAACAGGUGCUGCUCGCUGGACUGCAGAUUGCUUGGCUCGCUCGACAUGGCCUACAGCACCCUGACCCUGGUGCUUCCUCCUUGUCCGAACAGUCUGACGAGUCUAUUGUUCACCUGCCGUACAUCAUCAUCCAAGGGAUCAAGGUGUGGUUCAAGGUGCUAAUCGUGUUUGGGGUUUAGUCAAUCAUGCUGCAAGCGCGUGUGGGGUCACGCAGGGCAGGCAGGAAGGUCCCUCAGAACUCAGAAUAUGUUGUUUGCAUAUGACAGAAGGAGUCCUUUUCUUGAAUUCAGAGACUGGUCUUCACUGACCCAGGCAUUGUUCUUCAUUCCUACCUUGUCAUUCAAUCCCUCGGAUCCGUCAAUCCAUCUACUCCCUCCGUCCCAUAAUGUAACAAGGUUUUGGUUACCGAACGAAAUUUUGAGAUUUCCCGUGGUUACCGCGUAUUUCAGUGCCCCUUGGUAAAUCCCCGUACCGAGCAAAAAAUACCAAGUUAGUUGAUUUUUUUUAAUUUAACCGCUCGAUGUAUAGGA